UUCUAUUGGAUAAGAAAACCAUCUAUUACCGCUUUGAAAAGCGCUUCUUUCCGGCUCCGCCCGCGCUCGCGAGCUCAAGCUCCCGCCUUCCCGCGAGAGAGGCGAUCUGCGCCCCCUCGGUGCGCAAGGCCUCUCGGGAGUUGUGGUUUGCAGAGCGGCGGCCGGUUCCGGGCCCUCUGAUACCGGGCGGAUGCGGCCGGCGGACGGAGCGGAGCUGGGCGUUAUUCCAGGCCAGCCGGCCCGCUCCACCCCGCUUCGGGCCUCAGUUCUCUCUCCUGUGAACGCUCCCGAGCUCUCUACUAUUGGCCAAAGCCCGGGCCUGAAUCUGCAGGAACUCCAGGGCCCUCGCGACCCGACGUGCCAGGUCGUGGGCCAGCGUCUGGUCCCAGUGUUCCCGGACUGUUUACUAGGCUGGCAGUGAAAACUGGAAGGAAGCACAGCCUGGCCCCUUUGCGGGAACCCGGAGGAGGCACUCAACCAGGACGUCUGGGAGGGCCCCCUGGAGGAAGCGACCUCGGAGCUGGGAACUGAAAGGACUAGAAAGAAGGAGAGAGUUCUCAGAAGAGGAAGAAGGUGGACGGUUGAAGGGCUCCACACAGACCAGCACAGGUGCAUGCCAGGCCCUGAGAGGGGCUGCAGAUCAGAACCCGAGUGAAAAGCCGGUGGUGGAUUCCUUGACUUCAGCUUCCAGAACUGCACUUGGACAUGGAUUUGGCAAUAGAAAGCCUAGCUUGUCCCUCCUGUUCUGAGAGUACACAGAUCAGGUCAUGGCCAUCACGGGUGGUCCCUGGACACCCUCAGGCAAUGAGGAUGUCACUCCAAAUGUCUGGGAUGGACAGUUUAGUAGGAGGGGGUCUUCUCCCUGGAAGAUUGAGUCAUGUAUGGAAAUUAGGCAGAUCAAAGCCAGAGCAUUAAUGGUUUUGUGUUGAGUUUACAAACAAUCUCUGUUGUUUGAUACUCAUGUAAUUGUAAAGGAAUUUGGUAUGGUAGGGUAUCCAAUAAGUCUGAUUCUGUGUGAAACAUGUUGAGUUUGAAACA